UUUCUUGAGGGUUUGAUGUUUAGACUUCUCUCUAACAUUUGUUUUGAUUCAUCUUUAUUUCCUUUUCACUUUCAGCCUCAUCACAUCUAGCUUGAAGUUUCAUUAUAAUUCUAGCUUGCGAUUUCAUUAUAAUUUUAUUCUCAAUUUUGUUAAUUAUGUAGUUGUGAUGUGUUUUUUGUCAAUCCGUUCUUUUGUUUUACUCUUUACCGUUAUAAGUUUUUAAUGAUAUUCUUUGAUAAUAUAUAUAUAUUUCGUAAGGAAAAAGAAGGUUAUACAUAUAAUUUCAAUCAGAUCCAGCUAUCUUAUACUACAUUUUAGAGUUUUAGUGUCAUCGUCAUCAAAAUAUUAGUUGUAAUAUUGAUGUUUAUUUGCUUUCCUUCUCUCGUGUUCUUCUCUCUAUUUUUUUUUACGAUUUGAUUUUUAGAUUUUUCUCUAACAUUCGGUUUAAUUUUUUUGCAGAUUCAUCUUUAUUUUUUUUUCUCCAUCAAUUUCAUCGCUUCUAGCUUGAGAUUUCACAAUAAUUCUAUUUCACAUAUGUUAUUCGCAUUGUUUUGGUAGAACUUUGGCCACGGAAGGAUUGACAAAUUCGAAUACGAGAUGGCCUGGAAUUAACGGUUGUUUAUGAGUGUAUUCGAUAUUUCCAUUAAAGUUCAAGAUGCAAGUCUUACAUUGAAGGAUAAAAAUAUUUCCUAACAAAGGUAACUUUAUAUUUGAGGAAUAAACGCCAUGGGUAAGUGCUAUACUUUUCAAUUUGUUCUCCUCCAAAACUUACU